ensembl:lncRNA
AUCCACGCACGUCCACCAGGUGGCGCUGCGACCGAGAGUGUAUAUUGGCCUAUGGAUGUGAUCACGUCCGCACUCUGAUGACACAUAUAACAUUUCAGGCAGAUCGGACCAUGUCCAGUGUCUCAUGUGGCCCUGCAGCUUCUCCUCCUCCACCUCCUCCUGAAGCCUUCAUCUUUUUCAUCAUCAGCUGCUCAGUGACUCUGUUGGACGUCUCACCGUGUGGCAGCAGCUCAGGAGUUUGCAGUCAACCAAGGCCGACUCAGAAUCACUCCCACCGGGAAGAUCUGUGAAGGAAGGUCCACCCGGCUGGUCCAGAAGCUCCGGUCCAGCAGAGCAGCGUCAGAAUGGAGACGUAACCGGUGUUGAUGUCACCGCCUUGACGAAUA